AACUAAUACAUUUUGUUGACAGUUGUUUCUCACACUGUCGCAUGGCAUCUUCAUUCCUGUGUUGUUUAAAAUGAGGUCUUCACCUCCAUAGUCACCAUCCAAGUUGAUGCAAAAGAAAAUUCUUUUCUUUUAUCCAUGUUUUUCAGAAAUCAAGUGAGGAUUACAUGUAAGAGAGGGAAUAAGUAUGACCAGCGCUAGUCUCUUAUACUUUAAUUUGCCUGUGGCCCAAAGUAGAUUUCAUACGAUAUUUCUGCCCAUGUUAAACAGUGCUAGUAUUCUAAUUGAAGUUGAAAAUUUGCAGAUGAAGGAGAGCAUUCACAAAGACCAGCUUUAGCUAGAGGAUGGUAGUUUUCCCAGUCUCCUUCGGUUGGAAUUCAAGGGCAUGCACACCUGCUCUACCAUCUGCCAAAGUGUUUUUCUCUCCAUUAUCUUCAUGUAACACCAUGUACAUACAGCAGAGGGAUGGCCAGCUUCCAGGGCCAGUGCUUUUGAUUUCUUCCUCCCUUGUUCCAUGCUCCAUAAUGUUCCUCACACCUUUGGAAGGUGAUUCCUGGGGAAGUCCCAGGAAUUUGUACUCUGGUUUUGUAAAGGACCAGAGUAAAAUUCAACUCUGUGGAGGACAGUGCUGUAAGCAUGAGCUAAACUUUAAACAAUUUCUUUCACAAAAAUUCUCUCCGAGCAAGCUCCUGGUAGGCAAGCUGCUCAGAAUUUGCGCUCCAUAUAAGUCCAUAAUUUACAAAGCCUAUGUAGGUUGAAAACAUGUCCAUACAAAAUAUCCUGCACAUGAUAGCAGUAUUGACAGUGCAGCGUGUUUCAUGAUUCCUGGAGAUGUUUUUCUGACAUAGAUGCAUCUUAAUUGCAAGAAACUUGCACCAGAUGCAACGGUUUCUGAGGUUACUGCACAGGGGACCCUAACUUCCCACAGAUUAUGCUAACUUUCAGAGACACAGGAAGACAGGCAGAUUUUGGAGAAGAACAGAAAAAGGCAGAAGGUACAGAUGAGGCCUCGCUGUGUUCUGACAGAUAGAUACAAAAAACAUUAAAAGGCAGACUCAUAUAUCUGUUUCUGUUUGGAGUCAACAGACUGAUAUGUAAAUGUUUCUAAGGCAAAGGUGGUGGGCCAGAGAUCGUGUAAGAUUAAUGGCUUCUCUGCAUCUGUUUUCAAAAAAAAAAAAAAGGGACACAAGUCUAUAAAUGACUCUGCAAAUACAUUUUAAGGUUCUUAAUCUUCAAUGAAUCUAGACCUUUAAAAAAGAUGAAGGAAACAAAACAUUUAUGGCAAAAUCAAAAAAGAACAGCUUUUCCUUGCACCCACCCACAGGCACAUGGGUCCAUUUUCUUUCACUUCUGCAUGAAUUGGAGAACAUUUGUUUAUGGCAGGAGGAGCAAUGCUGAAGCGGACUUGUCUUUCUCGCUUCAUGUUCACACUGAUACUGUGCUGCUGUUUUUAACUCUGCAGUCUUCUUUUGUUCCCCCCCCCCCCCCCACAACGAUGUCAUUUUUAUUAUGCUAUUUAUAUUCUUUCUUAAUAAAAGUUC
ensembl:lncRNA